CUUCACUAGAAUGAGUCACUAGUAAAAUCUAACCUCUUAACUUCCAUACAUCCUGUUAAACAAGCAUAAUAAUUGAAAUGUAAACCAAAUUUAAUCCACUUUGAAACACUUAGAACCUAACCUAAAAUACCUAUGAAAUUAAUUAACAUCAAUGUUACCUUGAAAAAUAUUUUUGUUUCACAGGAUAUAUAGUUAAAGAAACUUUUUAUUCGAAUGUGAAUGAAAUGAAAUCUAUGUUGUGUCAUUUGAAGCUAACUUAAAAUCUCUACUUAAUUACAGUCGAACAACGUGAAUAUUGCUAUGAAAGAUAUUCUCCUUUCAUAAAAUCUAGUAAAGACGAACUUUUCGUAAAUGUAAAUCAAGUUUAACUUACUUUCUUUCGUUGAAACUUAAUCUAAAGUAUCUACUAAUUUAAACUUAAAUAAUAUUUAUGUUUGUUUUGAAAAAGUAUUUUUUUCCGCAAGAACCUAAUUGUAAGGAACUUUUUACUGUUCUAAACAACAAGAGAAAACAACAAAAAAUGUAGAUAUUCAAGAGAAGAAAAAUGCGAUUAUAUACGCCAAUGAGGAGAAACAGCAACCUCAGUGGUUAGCUCGCGUUCGCACUGAAAAGCGUGCCAAUAGAUGGCUACGUGCAAACCGAGAGGGCAAUGACAAGCAGGGAAUCUGUCAACAUCUACCAACAAUGUCAACAUGCAUUUAUGUCUUCGAUAUCUGUCAACAGCUUUAACGUUGGUCAACAUUUAAGCUUGUUAACAUCUUUCAACAUCAUCAGCUUUUAAACAUUUGUCAACACGUAUUACUAAUUUCAUCGUUCAGUUUCGACUGAAAUAGCCAGCGUAUAAGCUCGUUUAUUCGGACAGCAAAUAGGAAGUUCGAGAUUCGCCCGGAACCACGCUACAUGCACCUCGAAACAGCUACAGA
rnacentral:lncRNA from 1 species